GGCUCAGAAUGAACGCUGGCGGCGUGCCUAACACAUGCAAGUCGGAUGUGCCGCAAGGUGCAUGGCAGACGGGUGAGUAACGCGUGGGAAACCUACCUCUUUGUGGGGAAUAACGCUCCGAAAGGAGUGGUAAUACCGCAUGAGACCAUGAGCUGGGAUGCUCAUGGUGAAACCUGGGGACCGCAAGGCCUGGGGCAAGGAGAGGGUCCUGCGUCUGAUUAGCUAGUUGGUGGGGUAACGGCCUACCAAGGCGACGAUCAGUAGCCGGCCUGAGAGGGUGAUCGGCCACACUGGAACUGAGACACGGUCCAGACUCCUACGGGAGGCAGCAGUGGGGAAUUUUGCGCAAUGGGCGAAAGCCUGACGCAGCAACGCCGCGUGGGUGAUGAAGGUCUUCGGAUCGUAAAACCCUGUCGUCAGGGACGAAGGUUGUGGGUUGAAUAGGCCUGCAGCUUGACGGUACCUGGAGAGGAAGCCCCGGCUAACUCUGUGCCAGCAGCCGCGGUAAUACAGAGGGGGCAAGCGUUAUUCGGAAUUAUUGGGCGUAAAGGGCGCGUAGGCGGUUUUUUAAGUGAGAUGUGCAAUCCCCGAGCUUAACUUGGGAACUGCAUCUCAGACUGGAAGGCUAGAGUGCUGGAGAGGGUGGUAGAAUUCCACGUGUAGCGGUGAAAUGCGUAGAGAUGUGGAGGAAUACCAGUGGCGAAGGCGGCCACCUGGACAGUAACUGACGCUGAGGCGCGAAAGUGUGGGUAGCAAACAGGAUUAGAUACCCUGGUAGUCCACGCUGUAAACGAUGAACACUUGGUGUGGUGGGAGUUGACCCCUGCCGUGCCGUAGCUAACGCGAUAAGUGUUCCGCCUGGGGAGUACGGUCGC
rnacentral:rRNA from 1 species